UACGUAGGGGGCAAGCGUUGUCCGGAUUUAUUGGGCGUAAAGAGCGUGUAGGCGGCUAGAUAGGUCCGUUGUGAAAACUCGGAGGCUCAACCUCGAGACGUCGAUGGAAACCAUCUGGCUAGAGUCCGGAAGAGGAGAGUGGAAUUCCUGGUGUAGCGGUGAAAUGCGCAGAUAUCAGGAAGAACACCCGUGGCGAAGGCGGUUCUCUGGGACGGUACUGACGCUGAGACGCGAAAGCGUGGGGAGCGAACAGG
rnacentral:rRNA from 1 species